rnacentral:rRNA from 1 species
CAGUAGCCGCGGGAAAACAGAGGGUGCGAGCGUUAAUCGGAUUUACUGGGCGUAAAGCGUGCGUAGGCGGCUUCUUAAGUCGGAUGUGAAAUCCCUGAGCUUAACUUAGGAAUUGCAUUCGAUACUGGGAAGCUAGAGUAUGGGAGAGGAUGGUAGAAUUCCAGGUGUAGCGGUGAAAUGCGUAGAGAUCUGGAGGAAUACCGAUGGCGAAGGCAGCCAUCUGGCCUAAUACUGACGCUGAGGUACGAAAGCAUGGGGAGCAAACAGGAUUAGAGACCCCGGUAGUCCCUGUCUCUUAUAC